CCUACGGGAGGCUGCAGUGAGGAAUAUUGGUCAAUGGGCGCGAGCCUGAACCAGCCAAGUAGCGUGAAGGAUGACUGCCCUACGGGUUGUAAACUUCGUUUAUAAAGGAAUAAAGUGAGGCACGUGUGCCUUUUUGUAUGUACUUUAUGAAUAAGGAUCGGCUAACGCCGUGCCAGCAGCCGCGGUAAUACGGAGGAUCCGAGCGUUAUCCGGAUUUAUUGGGUUGAAAGGGAGCGUAGAUGGGUUGUUAAGUCAGUUGUGAAAGUUUGCGGCUCAACCAUAAAAUUGCAAUUGAUACUGGCAGCCUUGCGUACAGUUGAGGUAGGCGCAAUUCGUGGUGUCGCGG
rnacentral:rRNA from 1 species